rnacentral:rRNA from 1 species
GACGAACCGUGCGACUGUUGUUCGGAAUUACUGGGCGUAAAGGGCGCGUAGGCGGUGUGUCAAGUCAGGCGUGAAAGCCCCGGGCUCAACCUGGGAACCGCGCUUGAGACUGGCACGCUCGAGUUCGGGAGAGGAUGGUGGAAUUCCCAGUGUAGAGGUGAAAUUCGUAGAUAUUGGGAAGAACACCGAUGGCGAAGGCAGCCAUCUGGACCGACACUGACGCUGAGGCGCGAAAGCGUGGGGAGCAAACAGG